rnacentral:rRNA from 1 species
CUGUCGCUAAAGGGAUGGACCUGCGAUGCAUUAGCUAGUUGGUAAGGUAACGGGCUUACCAAGGCGAUGAUGCAUAGCCCGAGUUGAGAGACUGAUCGGCCACAUUGGGACUGAGACACGGCCCAAACUCCUACGGGAGGCAGCAGUAGGGAAUCUUCCACAAUGGACGAAAGUCUGAUGGAGCAACGCCGCGUGAGUGAAGAAGGUUUUCGGAUCGUAAAGCUCUGUUGUUGGUGAAGAAGGACAGGGGUAGUAACUGAUCUUUGUUUGACGGUAAUCAAUUAGAAAGUCACGGCUAACUACGUGCCAGCAGCCGCGGUAAU